CCCAGGUUAGGCCGGCUUGUUUCGCGGCUGCGUUGGUUUACGAGAAGAGGUCCUGACAGAUCCGUGGCUGAGGUUGUCCCAACCCCAGCACACUGCCUGUGACCGUGGAGACCGAGAACCGCUGCUCCCCCGCUCAGGCGGCCAUGCAAGACUGGAGGAAAGCUGUCUUCCAAACUCCCCUCACAUACAAAAUGGGCAACUCGACGGUGCGCCUACAGAGCCGCGUGGUGGCUGGUCUGGUGGUGACGGCGGCGGUGGUGCUGCUGUACCUGCUGCUGCAGCG